GGAAAUAGGAGCAGCAAAAAAUCCCACCUUGCUCUUCGCUGCUUUUUCUCUGGUGCCUUCUUGGAUGUUCAAACAAGUCAAGUAUGUGAAAUCUCAUAGACUAAUGACUAUCAAGCGUUUGAUGAAAUGUCUAUAUGAAACUUGGGAUAAUUAGUAGAGAAAACGUGGAGAGAAAGAUUACACAGAUGCUUAAAAUGUAAUGGGAAGUGUAUGGUGCCUUGAGUAACUUGUGGUUCUUGUGGGCCUAUCAAAUGUGUGACGUGCAUGGGUGGUGGUUCUCUUUUGACUCGCAAAGUGGC